rnacentral:rRNA from 1 species
GAUGAACGCUAGCGGCAGGCCUAAUACAUGCAAGCCGAACGGCAAGGUUUUCAGCAAUGGAGACCCUAGAGUGGCGUAAGGGUGCGUAACACGUAUGCAAUCUGACCCUCAACAGGAGGAUAGCUCCCCGAAAGGGGAUUAAGCCUCCAUAGGAUCUUAGAGUGGCAUCACUUAGAGAUUAAAUUACCAGAGGUUGAGGAUGAGCAUGCGCAUGAUUAGUUAGUUGGCGGGUAAA